rnacentral:lncRNA from 1 species
UUGCAAGGACUCAACUAAGGGGAUCCCAACUCCAACGCGCAACUUGACCAAGAGAAUGAGUGUUGUACCAGAGACGAGUGUAGUAGGACAACAUGAAUUUUGGCAUUAAGAUAUUAGCGCAAUUCCACAUACACAUGUGUUCCACCAGACUUCGAUACCAUCCUAACACCUUCCACUACUUGUUAGCUUCCUUGUUGUAUCCAGGAUUGCUACAUAGUAGUGAGAUGGAUUCGAGGAUGAAUCUUUUUAAAUAAGAGGGGAUGACGUGACCUUAGGAGGGCUUUCCAGUUACAUAAGAAGUAAGCAUCAUAUUUUAUGCCAAUUCAAAAACAAUGCCUGGGAAAAGCCUAGACCAAGGAAAUGGAGUCAAGAUUUGAUGACAAGGCCCAAUCCCAUGAAGCUUAAGGAUCUAGUUCAUGCAAGCUUAGAUCGGGUAAGAUGGAUCAUCGAUGCCAUUA